rnacentral:rRNA from 1 species
ACUCCUACGGGAGGCAGCAGUAAGGAAUAUUGCGCAAUGGACGAAAGUCUGACGCAGCGACGCCGCGNGGGGGAUGAAGGUCUUCGGAUUGNAAACCCCUUUCGGGAGGGAAGAUGGAGUGGGUAACCACUUGGACGGUACCUCCAGAAGCAGCCACGGCUAACUUCGUGCCAGCAGCCGCGGUAAUACGAAGGUGGCAAGCGUUGUUCGGAUUCACUGGGCGUACAGGGAGCGUAGGCGGUUGGGUAAGCCCUCCGUGAAAUCUCCGGGCCUAACCCGGAAAGUGCAGAGGGGACUGCUCAGCUAGAGGAUGGGAGAGGAGCGCGGAAUUCCCG